GGCUUAUAAAUAUAACACACCUGUACCAUGUCAGAUAUAGAGUUGAAAUGUAUUCAAUUUUGAGUUUGCUUCCCAAUAUUACACUUUAUAUACAGGUACAUCACAUAAGACUGAAAUAUAGCAAAACUGUUAGACAUUAAAAACAUUAAAAAAAAACUUUAUUAAUUAUGAAAAGUAUUAAUAACAUUUCAACCAUGAAGGUCCUUUGACAGCAGGAAAGGGAUACUGUUACAUCAUAGGGAAUGUUGUGCUUCAAGAAAUAUGUGGAAUAUGUAGAUUAAAAGAGGAGUCAUAAAAUUCUUUCCACAUUUCUCUGUUUUGUUAGGAAAAGGUUUACAUCUGGUUCUUUACAACCUCAAGGCAUGACGAGCAGUAACAUGGGUCAUCCUCUGAUAACGCCAGGCUUACUACUUCUAAUGCUGAUACCCGCCAUCACAGCUGAUAGCUCCGAACUGUGGUAGAAGAAUAUCCCGCUCUGUCUCCACCUCGGCCUCCCAAAAGCCCCUUACCAUCGGACCAAUCACCUGGACCAAAGGGCCAGAGUGAACCAAACAGCACUGCAAUGGGACAGCAGAGAGCUUCUGUAUCUUAAUGAUUUUUAGAUAAUCUAUUAUUAGAUAACUUUACUAUUAUAUCAGUCUUGUGUCAUUAUAUCAAUGUAUGUUCUCUGUUAUCUCUUGGUCUGGUCUGUUGGCGAAGCAGAGUUAGGGUUACAGAUGUUAAAUCUUAAUUUGAUCACCUUGUUGUUGCAGAAAAUGCAAAUGUCUCAUGUAUUCAAAGUUUAAAAAGGCAUCUAAAGUUUGUAAUUUCCACUUGAACAUUUCAGACUUAAUUUGCUCUAACUAAAAAAAUAUCAACCCCUACAAAAGUGUCCAUUUAAAUAUAAGCCACACAAUAAUGAGUAUUUCCUGUUGCUGCGGGAUUAUUUUCCUGCUGUGAGAAACUGGUCAAAUUAAGAUACAACACCUGUAAACAGAGAAUCUGAUAUAAUUUAAUCUUGUUCCUGUCUUUUAUUUUCUUUAUUAUUUUCUACUUAUUGUUUCUGUAAUGUGCUCUGUGUGUAGAGGAGUCAGGCGCAGGAAAGCAGAUGUGAGUAAAUAAGCGUAAUUUACUCAAAAUAGACAAAUAUAAUACAAUAAAGCGAGCCCACAUAACGGACCGUCUUACAUACAAACAAUUACUCACAAACAAACAUGGGGGGAACAGAGGGUUAAACAAUGAACAAGUAAUUAGGGGAUUGAAACCAGGUGUGUAAAACCAAGACGAAACAAACGGAAAAUGAAAAGUGGAUCAGCGGUGGCUAGAAGGCCGGUGACGUCGACCGCCGAACGCCACUCGAACAAGGAGAGGGACCGACUUCGGCGGAAGUCGUGACAGUUUCACACUUAACUUGACUGAACAACAGGACCUAAAUAAUUUGAGGGUUUGCUUCCUUCUUCAUCAAGUAGACUUCCUGAUAUGACCAUAUUUGGUUUUAGGCUCGUUGCUAAGGUGUUGAGUAUGUUAUUUACUAAGGCUUAAUGUUAUUUGUAUUCCCUUAUGGAGACAUUUUUUUAAGCAUAUGCCAACUUCAUACUCAUGGAUUCCCAGGGACUCUACACAUGAAAUACCAAGCUCUCAAAUUGUUCAGGCAUGUAGAAGUGACUUAACACUAAAACAAAUAGCAAAACUUGCUGUAUCGUCUAUAAGCCAUAGAGAGAGGGAUCAUGCCUGUGGAACACUAUGGCUCCGUUUCAAAUGGCACCCUAUUCCCUACUUAUGGCACCCUAUUCCCUACUUAUGGCACCCUAUUCCCUAUUUAGUGGACUAUUUUUGACCAUCUUAGUAAACAAAAGUAGUGCACUAUAUAGGGAAUAAGGUGCCAUUUGAGUCUGUGUUUAGAUGAGUGGGAACAGUUCACCUUUCCCUCAGCGUGAACAGUUGAUAUGAUGUCAUCAUGGUGGCAACUGGCUAUUGUUGGUCAUCUAGAGCAAAGAGAAAAGGGUUUGGAAUAAGACAAAGGGAUCAGGUCAGAUCUUUUCUUGUUAUUAAUCCGCUGAUUCAGCGUGACUAAAUGGAGAUGUAUUACGUGAGCUCGACACAGUUGAAACAGGCAUAUCUAUAGUACAAACAGAAGACAAAAAACUUAAAGAUAAAGGGAACAAUGUCAAGAACACUUAGAGGUAGCCUAUCUGUCAGCACGGCACAGUUGAAACAGGCAUAUCUAUAUCACAAACAGAAGACAAAAAAAAACAGAUUGAUAAAAAUGGGACAAUGGUUAUCAAGCUAGGGUGUAUCAGAAAGCAUGGCCAGGUCGAAAGAAGCAUAUAUACACUGCUCAAAAAAAUAAAGGGAACACUUAAACAACACAAUGUAACUCCAAGUCAAUCACACUUCUGUGAAAUCAAACUGUCCACUUAGGAAGCAACACUGAUUGACAAUAAAUUUCACAUGCUGUUGUGCAAAUGGAAUAGACAACAGGUGGAAAUUAUAGGCAAUUAGCAAGACAUACCCAAUAAAGGAGUGGUUCUGCAGGUGGGGACCACAGACCACUUCUCAGUUCCUAUGCUUCCUGGCUGAUGUUUUGGUCACUUUUGAAUGCUGGCGGUGCUUUCACUCUAGUGGUAGCAUGCGACGGAGUCUACAACCCACACAAGUGGCUCAGGUAGUGCAGCUCAUCCAGGAUGGCACAUCAAUGCGAGCUGUGGCAAGAAGGUUUGCUGUGUCUGUCAGCGUAGUGUCCAGAGCAUGGAGGCGCUACCAGGAGACAGGCCAGUACAUCAGGAGACGUGGAGGAGGCCGUAGGAGGGCAACA